rnacentral:rRNA from 1 species
AUUGAACGCUGGCGGCAUGCCUUACACAUGCAAGUCGAACGGUAACGGGCCUUCGGGUGCCGACGAGUGGCGAACGGGUGAGUAAUGCAUCGGAACGUACCUUUCAGUGGGGGAUAACGUAGCGAAAGUUACGCUAAUACCGCAUAUUCCGUGAGCAGGAAAGCAGGGGAUCGCAAGACCUUGCGCUGAUUGAGCGGCCGAUGUCAGAUUAGCUAGUUGGUGAGGUAAAGGCUCACCAAGGCGACGAUCUGUAGCGGGUCUGAGAGGAUGAUCCGCCACACUGGAACUGAGACACGGUCCAGACUCCUACGGGAGGCAGCAGUGGGGAAUUUUGGACAAUGGGGGGCAACCCUGAUCCAGCCAUGCCGCGUGAGUGAAGAAGGCCUCGGUUGUAAGACUCUUCGUCCGGGAACGGAAAGUACGCAUGGGUUAA